rnacentral:rRNA from 1 species
GACGAACGCUGGCGGCGUGCUUAACACAUGCAAGUCGAACGAAGUGGCGAACGGGUGAGUAACGCGUAAUCAACCUGCCCUUCAGAGGGGGACAACAGUUGGAAACGACUGCUAAUACCGCAUACUGAAGGAGGGGAUUGCGUCUGAUUAGCUAGUGGGGGGGGUAACGGCCCACCAAGGCGAUGAUAAGUAGCCGGUCUGAGGGGAGGACCGUCAAAAUGGGAACUUGGCCACGGCCCAGAUUCCAACGGGAGGCACCAGUGGGGAAUCUUCCGCAAUGGACGAAAUUCUGACCGGGCAACGCUGCGUGAGUUAAGAAGGUUUUCGGAUCGUAAGACUCGGUUGUUGGGAAGCGGUAUCUAACCAGAAAGCCACGGCUAACUACGUGCCAGCAGCCGCGGUAAUAC